rnacentral:rRNA from 1 species
GGGACAACAUCUCGAAAGGGAUGCUAAUACCGCAUACGUCCUACGGGAGAAAGCAGGGGAUCUUCGGACCUUGCGCUAAUAGAUGAGCCUAAGUCGGAUUAGCUAGUUGGUGGGGUAAAGGCCUACCAAGGCGACGAUCUGUAGCGGGUCUGAGAGGAUGAUCCGCCACACUGGGACUGAGACACGGCCCAGACUCCUACGGGAGGCAGCAGUGGGGAAUAUUGGACAAUGGGGGGAACCCUGAUCCAGCCAUGCCGCGUGUGUGAAGAAGGCCUUAUGGUUGUAAAGCACUUUAAGCGAGGAGGAGGCUACUUUAGUUAAUACCUAGAGAUAGUGGACGUUACUCGCAGAAUAAGCACCGGCUAACUCUGUGCCAGCAGCCGCGGUAAUACAGAGGGUGCGAGCGUUAAUCGGAUUUACUGGGCGUAAAGCGUGCGUAGGCGGCUUAUUAAGUCGGAUGUGAAAUCCCCGAGCUUAACUUGGGAAUUGCAUUCGAUACUGGUGAGCUAGAGUAUGGGAGAGGAUGGUAGAAUUCCAGGUGUAGCGGUGAAAUGCGUAGAGAUCUGGAGGAAUACCGAUGGCGAAGGCAGCCAUCUGGCCUAAUACUGACGCUGAGGUACGAAAGCAUGGGGAGCAAACAGGAUUAGAUACCCUGGUAGUCCAUGCCGUAAACGAUGUCUACUAGCCGUUGGGGCCUUU